rnacentral:rRNA from 1 species
UUUAAUUCGAUGCAACGCGAAAAACCUUUACCCACCUUUGACAUGUACGGAACUCGCCAGAGAUGGCUUGGUGCUCGAAAGAGAACCGUAACACAGGUGCUGCAUGGCUGUCGUCAGCUCGUGUCGUGAGAUGUUGGGUUAAGUCCCGCAACGAGCGCAACCCUUGUCAUUAGUUGCUACAUUUAGUUGGGCACUCUAAUGAGACUGCCGGUGACAAGCCGGAGAAGGUGGGGAUGACGUCAAGUCCUCAUGGCCCUUAUAGUGGGGCUACACACGUCAUACAAUGGCUGGUACAGAGGGUUGCCAACCCGCGAGGGGGAGCCAAUCCCAUAAAGCCAGUCGUAGUCCGGAUCGCAGUCUGCAACUCGACUGCGUGAAGUCGGAAUCGCUAGUAAUCGUGGAUCAGCAUGUCACGGUGAAUACGUUCCCGGGUCUU